rnacentral:lncRNA from 1 species
UUAGGAAGAGAACGCACUAAUGUGGGAAUUUGGGUCGUAUUUAUGAAGAGAAGAUACACAAACGUGGAUAUUUAGGUGGAAAUUUGGGUCUUGUUUAUGAAGAGAAUGCAUAAAUGUGGGAAUUUGGGUCUGUUUGUGAGGAGAGGGUAUGAAAAUGUGGGAAUUUGGGCCUUUUUUAGGAAGAGGACACACAGAUGUGGGUAUUUAGGUGGAAAUUUGGGCCUUGUUUAUGAAGAGAUGACACAUCGAUGUGGGAAUUUGGGUCUUAUGAAGAGAGGAUACACAAAUGUGGGUAUUUAGGUGGAAAUUUGGUCUUAUUGAGGAAGAGACAACACAUAAAUGUGGGAAUUUGGGUCUUUUUGUGAGGAGAGGGUACAAAAAUGUGGGAAUUUGGGGUCUUAUGAAGAGAAAAUACACAAAUGUGGGUGUUUAGGUGGGAAUUUGGGUGUUAUUUAGGAAGAGAACACACAAAUGUGGGAAUUUGGGUCUUAUUCAUGAAGAGAAGAUACACAAAUGUGGAUAUUUAGGUGAGAAUUUGGGUCCUGUUUAUGAAGAGAGGACACACACGUGUGGGAAUUUGGGUCUGUUUGUGAGGAGAGGGUACGAAAAUGUGGGAAUUGGGGCCUUUUUUAGGAAGAGGACACACAGAUGUGGGUAUUUAGGUGGAAAUUUGGGCCUUGUUUAUGAAGAGAUGACACAUAGAUGUGGGAAUUUGGGUCUUAUGAAGAGAGGAUACACAAAUGUGGAUAUUUAGGUGGAAAUUUGGGUCUUGUUUAGGAAGAUAGAGAAAUUUGGGUAUUUAGGUGGGAAUUUGGGUCUUAUUGAGGAAGAGAUAACACAUAAAUGUGGGAAUUUGGGUCUUUUUGUGAGGAGAGGGUACAAAGAUGUGGGAAUUUGGGGUCUUAUGAAGAGAAAAUAAACAAAUUUGGGUAUUUAGGUGGAAAUUUGGGUCUUGCUUAUGAAGAGAAUGCAUAAAUGUGGGAAUUUGGGUCUUAUUCAUGAAGAGAAGAUACACAAAUAUGGAUAUUUAGGUGAGAAUUUGGGUCUUGUUUAUGAAGAGAGGACACACACACGUGGGAAUUUGGGUCUGUUUGUGAGGAGAGGGUACGAAAAUGUGGGAAUUUGGGCCUUUUUUAGGAAGAGGACACACAGAUGUGGGUAUUUAGGUGGAAAUUUGGGCCUUGUUUAUGAAGAGAUGACACAUAGAUGUGGGAAUUUGGGUCUUAUGAAGAGAGGAUACACAAAUGUGGAUAUUUAGGUGGAAAUUUGGGUCUUGUUUAGGGAGAUACAGAAAUUUGGGUAUUUAGGUGGGAAUUUGGGUCUUAUUGAGGAAGAGACAACACAUAAAUGUGCGAAUUGGGGUCUUUUUGUGAGGAGAGGGUACAAAAAUGUGGGAAUUUGGG